UAUAUAUAUAUAUAUAUAUAUAUAUAUAUAUGUGUGCUACUAUACUAUCGAUAGUAUCAAGUGCUUGGUGCUAUCGAGUUUUCGGCUAUUGAAUAAAAGGACGAUGAGUUAGGAUGAUAGUAGUCUCCUAGAAUUGAGUAGGUGGUUGGUUGAAUAGUAUAAUCUAACAGGUAGAAAUAAUCAAAUGAUAGAUUUAACGGGAGAAAAUUCGAUAAUACCAAGAGCUUGGUACUAGUGAUGGACUCUAUAUAUAUAUAUAUACAAGCUUAGCAUAAAACAUUGUAGCCAUGUGGGCCCAGAGAAAUCAUGGAGAGAUCCAUCUCUUAGAUUUCAAGCAAGACAUAUCACACCAAAAUAUUUCAUUUUGAAUAAUAAUUUUUUAAUUAAUGUGCAUAUGGGAUUACCUUGUAUUUAAAUUGUGUAUAAAACAGUAGAGAUGCAAUUAGAAGAAUCAUAUAUUAUAGCAAAAAUCUACCAAGUAACUAUCAGAUCGUUGGCGCCAACCAUUAAUCCUAAAAGCUCGAGCUGUUCGAAAGAUAUAAUUAAUUUACUUAAAGCGUACAAACACAUUGCCCACAGGUCUCGACUGUGAUUUGGCUUAACCCGACCUCCUGUUAUUUCGAAUGUGACUCGACCUAAUCUGAUUUUCUGUCACAUGACGAGAUGCCAACCCCUUUAAUUUUUUUUUUUUUUUUUU
rnacentral:lncRNA from 1 species